rnacentral:rRNA from 1 species
GGAAAUCUGCCCAAAGGUUCGGAAUAACUCGGGGAAACCCGUGCUAAUACCGGAUAAUAUCGCGAGAUCAAAGAUUUAUCGCCUUUGGAUGAGCCCGCGUAGGAUUAGCUUGUUGGUGGGGUAAAGGCCUACCAAGGCGACGAUCCUUAGCUGGUCUGAGAGGAUGAUCAGCCACACUGGGACUGAGACACGGCCAGACUCCUACGGGAGGCAGCAGUGGGGAAUAUUGGACAAUGGGCGAAAGCCUGAUCCAGCAAUGCCGCGUGAGUGAUGAAGGCCUUAGGGUUGUAAAGCUCUUUUACCCGGGAUGAUAAUGACAGUACCGGGAGAAUAAGCUCCGGCUAACUCCGUGCCAGCCGCCGCGG